rnacentral:rRNA from 1 species
AUCACUUGUUCUUUAAAUGGGGACUUGUAUCAACGGCAUCACGAGGGUUGUACUGUCUCCUUUCCCCAAUCAGUGAAACUGAUCUCUCCGUGAAGAAGCGGAGAUAGAGCUAUAAGACGAGAAGACCCCAUGGAGCUUUAAACCCAGCAAUUAUAUCCAUUUAAAUAUUCCCCUAUAAAUAAUAGAACCUUACUUGUCUGGUUUUAGGUUGGGGUGACCGCGGAGCACAAAUUAACCUCCACGAUGAAUGGGUUAACUCCCUUAUCCAAGAGUUACACCUCUAAGAAUUAAAAAUUUAACAUAAGCUGAUCCGACCAUCGAUCAACGAACCAAGUUACCCUGGGGAUAACAGCGCAAUCCACUUUAAGAGCCCCUAUCGACAAGUGGGUUUACGACCUCGAUGUUGGAUCAGGGUAUCCUAGUGGUGCAGCAGCUACUAAAGGUUCGUUUGUUCAACGAUUAAAACCCU